GUCGCCGCCGCCUUCUCCACGCGCCACCGCGCCAUUCUACCGCCCCCGCGCAAACCUGCUAGACUGCUGCCCCACACCGCCUGCCCCCACGCGCUCGAACCCUCUCCUCUGCCCCGGUGCUCUCCCCUGACCACAAGAACUCUGGCGUCGUCACCGUCAUGGCGCACGCCGGGAAGAUCCCGGGGGAGACGGGGUUCAACCUGCUGCAGAGGGACGUUGCCCUGUACUACAAGACUGUGUCGGCCGUGGUGAAGCACUCCUCGGAGGCGGUGCUUCUCGUGGUGUCCAACCCCGUCGAUGUCUUCCCCUACCUCGCCUUGCAACUUUCAGGGUUGGGUUCCAGGCGAGUGGCAUCAUUUGCUCCUCCAGGUUCUGGUUCCUCAUCAACGAGCCCCCCGCCAUCAACACACAGGACGUGCAGGAUUCCCAGACCACCACAGUGUUCCCUUCAACCGCGAACCAGUUUACUGCUGCGCCUCCGCAACCUUAUGGGUCGCCGUAGUCCAUGCAGCAGCUAGCAGCAAGGCCCAUUGACGUCGCCGCACAGUCCAAUAAACAACUUUGGCGAUGCUCACAGUAGGCAGUGACGCCAUGUGGUGGUGUGGAGCGUCGGGGGUCGAUGUUCAAUCUGGAGGAUUUUCUCCAAUGAGAUGUAGAAUGAAGGCUUUGAUGUCAAGUACGAGAAUGAUGCAACGAUGUUGGUGGAAGGCUGUGAGGAUGGGUAUUGCCCACUACAAGGAGCAGGCAGAUGAUGUGCCUCUUAGACAAAUUCCAAAAAACAACACAAGGAAGUUUUGCUCACACAAUGAACCAUAAUGUCUCCUCUAUUUCAUUAGUUACAUCAGUUUGUAGGAAACAUGGAUGGUCACUGGUUCAUAACAGAUGAACUAUUUAUAUGUGAAAAUUAA